CAACAUGCCGAGUUAGCGAAAAAGCUGCAAUGCGGGCAUUGAGUGGUCUUCUUUCUCUUUAUCCUCCCACUUUUCACCCCUCACCCUAGCCCAUGCCCUUGCCGCCGCCUCCUUCCUUGGCCUGCUCAGAGGGGUACCUGAGCUCGCAUGAGGUGACGCUCCCCAUCUGGUCGCUGAGCAGUGCGGCUCUUGCGGUCCCACAACCGUCGGCGUGCACACUGCACCGUCAGAGGAGGCCGCCACCACCCCCAGAUCCCAUUGGGGACGCGCCACUGUAAGACACCUCCGGGUCCUCGUGUGCAUCACUGAAUAUGGAGAUUGUGGGGCCGGCCACGAACAGGUGGUGGGUGGCCCGUCGAUCCUGCCACAGUUAGUCACCAUGGCUUUACAUAGAUGCUCGUGCAUCAAAGAUUAUUCAAGGGGGUUAAUUUACAUUUCGCCCCGGGGCCCCAAAUUCCUGGAGACAGCCCUGAUUCAAGUCACAUGAGAAAAUAGGGGAUUAACAUACGGAUUUUGUUCGGCGGUGGGCAGUGAUGGGUAUGUCGUUACCAUGGCUUUCUCUGAUGGACAUGAGAUGUUUGAUGUAAUGCCAUAGAGAGAGAUACACGAGGAGGAAGAAGAGCGAGUUAACAUCAUAGCCAGCUAGAAACAUCAUUAAAGAAAUUAACAUUUACCCUGAGUGUUUUUUGCCAUUGUCAGGCAUUGCACGUGGUGCAUUUUUUUCUCAAUUUGACACCACUGUGGUGGUUUUAUG